GCGCAGUGAGAGUCGCGAUUUUGGUAACUGCGCACGCACGCACUGCGACGCUUUUGUUUAUUAGUUUGGUCCUUUUGGAAGAUUCGUCCAUUCCUCCUGGGCGCGAGGGUGGUGGCUGAACCCGCGUCAGUGCAGGAAAGACGAGUCACUGUUCGCAAUGUUAUGAUGUUUGAGUUUGUACUGUGAAUGAUCACUAGAAGCCAUUAAACAAUGG